rnacentral:rRNA from 1 species
UGCUCAAGUCAUUGGGACUAUGCGAAACCUAAAGGCGAAAUGAAAGUGAAGGCGCGCCUCGCGCGCGCCGAGGGCGGAUGGGCGGCGGCACACAGUCGCCCCGCACGCCCGGGGCGUCCCAACCUCAUUGCGAGAGGGGCGCACCCAGAGCGUACAUGCUGGGACCCGAAAGAUGGUGAACUAUGCCUGGUCAGGAUGAAGUCAGGGGAAACCCUGAUGGAGGUCCGUAGCGAUUCUGACGUGCAAAUCGAUCGUCGGAACUGGGUAUAGGGGCGAAAGACUAAUCGAACCAUCUAGUAGCUGGUUCCCUCCGAAGUUUCCCUCAGGAUAGCUGGCGCUCGCUCAUGCGAGUCUCAUCCGGUAAAGCGAAUGAUUAGAGGUAAUGGGGUCGAAACGGCCUCAACCUUUUCUCAAACUUUAAAUGGGUGAGAUCUCCGGCUUGCUUGAACUAUGAAGCCGCGAGACCUCGGAUCAGAGUGCCAAGUGGGCCACUUUUGGUAAGCAGAACUGGCGCUGUGGGAUGAACCAAACGCCGAGUUAAAGCGCCAAAAUCGACGCUUAUGGGAUACCAUGAAAGGCGUUG